rnacentral:rRNA from 1 species
GCAGCCGCGGUAAUUCCAGCUCCAAUAGCGUAUAUUAAAGUUGUUGCAGUUAAAAAGCUCGUAGUUGAAUUUCGGGAUUAGUACGCUGGUCGUGCCUUCGGUACGUACUGGUGUUACUGAUUUCUACCUUCUGACGAACUAUCAUGUCAUUAAUUUGGUGUGGUAGGGAAUCAGGACUGUUACUUUGAAAAAAUUAGAGUGUUUAAAGCAGGCUCGCGCUUGAAUACAUUAGCAUGGAAUAAUGAAAUAGGACGUUGAUCCUAUUUUGUUGGUUUCUAGGAUUGACGUAAUGAUUAAUAGGGAUAGUUGGG